CCAAUGCAUCUCUCCUCCCUAUUUACCACAAAAACUAAUCUCUCUCUCUUCAAUCCUCAUAUUUUUGACAUUGAAGUUUUUCUUCUUCUCCUCUCUCACUGUGCUGCCGUUCCGGGUUUCUUUCCUUCGAUUCGUUUUAUCUACUGCGGAUCCACCAAAUUUAUCGGGGAACUAGCUGCACCGAUGAAGAAGGAGUUGCAGAGCUUUUGGUUGUUUGACAUCGUUUUGAACCUGGAAGGCUCAGAUCUACAAAAGCCCCCAACUUCCCAGGUUCGAUAUCGCCGGAUACACGACACGCGUCACCGUCCCCUUUACUUUUAAGGCCUUAAGUAGCUCUCAGCCUCUAUUGGUAAUUACUUUCAUGCGCGCGUACUCCUUGCUUAACAUAUCUGAGUCUACUUCAUCAGAGUUGGUCCACUAUUGAUAUUAACCUUGGGCUGAGGUAUCUCUUUAGUAACAAAGACAUCUUCUUCAUGGAGUUGAGUUCCAAUGCUUCUGAUGUGCUAUACAAGAUUAGAUUCCUUUCCCUCACAUAUAAGGAAAUUCAGAUUAAAUUAGACCAAGAGAGAGAAUCCUCUCCUAUGUGACUGGGGUACAUGUGUGACAAAGGAGGUGGCUUGAUCAAGAACUUGGGAAUUAUAGCAAAAUCUGGAACUUCAUGUCUCUUUUGUUGUUAUAUUGAACUUUACAUUUGUUAUCUAUUUCGAAUGCAAUUGUUGGAAAGGUAAAAGUUAUUAGAACCUAUUGUUUGUUUAUUUGUCUUUAGUUUGUAUAAUAGUACUGCUUUUGUGUGAGGACCUUGUUGAUCUAGUUAAAUUAAUUAAUUAUAGUUUGCAGGGGUUGAUGUUAAAUAUGAAGAGAUAAUUGAAGCAACCUCAACUGGCUCCAGUUCAAUGAUUUCCAAGAUUGUUCAAAUGGUUGAGGAUGCUCAAGGCCAUGAAGCACCAAUAGAAGGGCUUACUGAUUCAAUAGCUGGAUCUUUUGUAUACAGUAUAAUGACUCUCAGCUACAAUAUUUGCUUUUUGAAACAAAGGGAGGUGGAAUCAGAAAGGAUACAGAAGAUGCCGGAGGAACAUGCAGCCGUGAACCUGCUUUCUAACUGUGCUCGAGGCUCGACAUGAACAUCACUGGCAGAUAUGGUAUGAUUGCAGAAAAGAAUACAUCUACCUUUGUUUUCUUUAAGAAAUUAUAGAAAAGUUGCUGGAGGAGAGGUAGCAGAUGCAGCUAUGGGGAGGAACAUGAUGAAGAGAUUUAUGUUGUAUUUUAUUUGAAGUUGUAUAUGAAUUGAGGAAGUAUAUUUUAGAAUUAUACAGUACAUUUU